AAACCGAUACAGUAUCUGGGAGAUUUUCCACUCCUUUCAAAUCUCUCAUAAGCUUCAUCAUCAUUUGGAAAGCAGCUACCCAGGGCUAGGCCUACAGGGAGUUGUCCAGGAAGAGGCAGAAAAGCACCAAUAGGCUUUGUCUGGUCACUAUCCUUGGUGAAGAGAAGAAACUGGUGAAAUCGAUGUCCACAGUAUCGUGAAGCGUCAGAGGAAGCUGUCUGUCUUUGCUAAGAGAUCAGCCUGUCUGCAGACACAAGAACUAAACUUUCUUGUCACUUUAUCAGUUAAGGGAAGGGUGGAGCAACUUCCUUACUAUACAUGGCCUGUCCUUAUGUCUUG